UACGUAGGGUGCAAGCGUUGUCCGGAAUUAUUGGGCGUAAAGAGCUCGUAGGCGGUCUGUCACGUCGGCUGUGAAAACCCGAGGCUCAACCUCGGGCCUGCAGCUGAUACGGGCAGGCUUGAGUUCGGUAGGGGAGACUGGAAUUCCUGGUGUAGCGGUGAAAUGCGCAGAUAUCAGGAGGAACACCGGUGGCGAAGGCGGGUCUCUGGGCCGAUACUGACGCUGAGGAGCGAAAGCGUGGGGGAGCGAACAGG
rnacentral:rRNA from 1 species